rnacentral:lncRNA from 1 species
GCGGCGUAUUUGCGUUGCGAUGGCAUCAUUCUUCUCGGAGCCGGAGUGAAAUUGAAGUCGCGUGUUUGCAUUAGUUUUUUGAAUUGCUGUUGGGGCUGGGGCUGCGUGAUCGUCACUGGCGUCCUCCAGAGUGCCCACCGAUCGGAAAGUCGUACGAACAGCAAGCUUUGAACGUCUGUUUAUCGCAACAUCGAAAGCGGCGGCACAGAAGACGCGAUGUGAGCUCCUGUGGGAACAGCAGCCCUUUGUCUCGUAACGGAUGUUGCUAUCUCUACAAUAGCCGGAGAAGACGAAACAAGUUUUGCAAUGCACACGGACUGGCUCAGUUAUGAAUGUCACAAAUGCUCCCCUAACGAGGAUCAAAUCAAUGAAAGGAUGGCCUUGAUAAAUAAUAUUCAUGAGGCGAAGAGGAAGUACCCAUACAUGAUGAGCUUUGAGAGGUGACUUUGCAAGACGGACUAAGAUUGACCCAUCACCUUGUAUUGCAAAAGGGAUCAACAAAAUUGUGAAAAUGGCAGAAAUGAAACACAUCCCUUGCGAAGCAAGUGUAAUGGCAUCACUUCAAAAGGCUCGUGAGAUGUCACCGGAGAGGCUGCGAACACGACGACCCGAGCGUUCCUGCAACCUCUUGCAUCGUAUUUUCUGGAGAAGACGUUGAAGAGGCUGACCUCCACAUCAAGGUGGACCGCGAGAUGUUUGCAGUGAAAAAUGGGGAGGAGGGGCUGGCGGCUGUUUUAUCUGCUUACUGGCUCUUCAAUAUCCAGUACGACCGCAAGCUAUUCAACACUCUUCUCGUGUUGGAGCGCCUUUUCCUUGGGCUCACAUUGAGUACCCCUAGAGUAGUGGCUACAAAGUUCUUGAACAAUGUUGCCAAAUGUGUGCCAUGUUUAAUGUGCUGAAGCUGUGCACUGUUACCUCAUCAUGAGUUUAGCUGUAAUUUUCAGAUGCAAGUUUUGUUUUGUCUAACCAUUUCUGCAAUACAUAUGAAGGAAGCCAACAGUCACCGAUAACAAGGCAAGCUUAUGGCAACGCUAUUCGUUUUUUUUUAUUUGCAGUGUUAGUAGUUGGAAAUUAUUAGUGUAAUUAUUUUCAGAUGUGGUUAGUUAGGAUCCCACUGGCAGCAUGUGGUUUUCUGCUUUCUGAUCAUUUACCUGUCAGCCAUAAAAUGAUUACACUAACAAUUUUCUAUUGUCAGCACCACAAAUUGUUAAAACUUAGAAGCAUUCUCCAUGUGGGGCGUUCCUUGGUCUCGGUCACUGUUGGCAUUUUUCAUAUGCAUUACAGAAAGGGUUAAACUAUUCAACACUUUCUUAUCUAAAUGUUACAGGUAAACUGUCUUUUGUAUUACAUCAUUAGCUCUUUUUAACUUUCAAUAACUAAGCAAGAUUCUAGUC